rnacentral:rRNA from 1 species
AGUGGAUGGGGAGCAACCUAUGUUGUGCGUGUGUAAAGGUAGUGCCAAGAAAAGCGAUGAUCAUGUUGAAAAUCAAUUCCCGGUACCCGAAACCGACACAGGUGGGCAAGUAGAGAAUACUAAGGGGCGCGAGGUAACUCUCUCCAAGGAACUCGGCAAAAUGACCCCGUAACUUAGGGAGAAGGGGUGCCACCGAGAGGUGGUCGCAGUGAAGAGGCCCAGGCGACUGUUUAGCAAAAACAUAGGUCUCUGCAAACUCGAAAGAGGAGGUAUAGGGGCUGACGCCUGCCCAGUGCCGGAAGGUUAAAGAAGUUGGUCAGUUUUAGGAUGAAGCUAGCGACUGAAGCCCCGGUGAACGGCGGCCGUAACUAUAACGGUCCUAAGGUAGCGAAAUUCCUUGUCGGGUAAGUUCCGACCCGCACGAAAGGCGUAACGAUCUGGGCGCUUCUCGGAGAGAGGCUCGGCGAAAUAGGAUUGUCUGUGAAGAUACGGACUACCUGCAUUUGGACAGAAAGACCCUAUGAAGCUUUACUAUAGCUUGGAAUUGUGUUCGGGCUUCCUGUGCGCAGGAUAGGUGGGAGGCGUAGAAGGUAUUCUUGUGGGGAUACUGGAGCCAACGGUGAGAUACCACUCUCAGGAGGCUAGAAUUCUAACUUAAUUAAGGACAGUUUCAGGUGGGUAAUUUGACUGGGGCGGUCGCCUCCAAAAAGGUAACGGAGGCGUACAAAGGUUCCCUCAGACUGGUUGGAAAUCAGUCGAAGAGUGCAAAGGCAGAAGGGAGCUUGACUGCGGGAAGUACAGUUCGAGCAGGGUGGAAACACGGUCUUAGUGAUCCGACGGUGCUGUGUGGAAGGGCCGUCGCUCAACGGAUAAAAGUUACUCUAGGAUAACAGGCUGAUCUCCCCCAAGAGUUCACAUCGACGGGGAGGUUUGGCACCUCGAUGUCGGCUCAUCGCAACCUGGGGCGGAAGUACGUCCCAAGGGUUGGGCUGUUCGCCCAUUAAAGCGGUACGUGAGCUGGGUUCAGAACGUCGUGAGACAGUUCGGUCCAUAUCCGAUGUAGGCGUGAGAAUAUUGAGAGGAGCCUUCCUUAGUACGAGAGGACCGGGAAGGACGCACCGCUGGUGUACCUGUUAUGAUGCCAAUUGUAAACGCAGGGUAGCCAAGUGCGGAGAGGAUAACCGCUGAAAGCAUCUAAGUGGGAAGCCCACCUCAAGAUGAGUAUUCUGGUGUAAGGUCACGGGAAGACGACCCGUAAAUAGGCACGAGGUGGAAGUGCAGAGAUGUAUGAAGCCGAAGUGUACUAAUAGACCGUCGGC